UUUGUUUAUAUCGUCAACUGUAU
rnacentral:snRNA from 1 species